CAGAGGGAGUUCAGUACGUUCACCUCCAGCAGCCAGUUUCCGUUCAAUGCAACCAGCGCCAGCAGAGACUUUCCCUUUAUGGACGAAAGAAUGUCAAAACAAUAUAUAAGAGAAAGAAAAAAAGAAGGAACAAAUCGUGAACUUUCCACAGCAGGCGUGGUGCAGCAGCUACUUUCGAGUGUGACUGCAUCAUGCUGCAGUUUGCACGCGCAACAACGGGGAAAAGGUGCGACAAAGUUGCGGAGGCUAUAGGUCUCGGGAUAUCCGUUGUGUUUUCUUCGCACCACACUUCCAGUCGGAAAACGUGACGUGAUGGACCUGCUUCGACGUUCUCGCCUCAUGGCGUUUCUUUUCGUCAUCAUCUCCUUCCAAAUUCACGACGCAAAUGCCGUUCCAAUGGUUUCGUAUCGAGUCGGUAAUCAGCUAAGGCUUAGUCCAGUUUUAGUGCCCGUUUCAUCAACAGUGAUGCCCGUCGAUCUGAUGAAGACGAAACAUCGUUCGUCCGACGAGAGGUUAACCCCGUUAGCUAAUCAACCAAAGGCCGAAUUUCGAAAAUCAAAACGUGAAAAGACCGAGUCGUUUUUCUGGCCACUUAAAUUGUAUUGAGAUUUUUUUGAAUAUCGAGAAAUAUCGAGUGUAACGUCUAUUGUGAUAUCAUCAUGUUUUUAAAAAAUUUUGUAUUGCCGUUGAUGCGGCUACGUAGACGUGAAUUGGAGAGCGCCACGUUACAGACGAAAGUGAUAGUAUGCUGUUUUAUUCAUGAAAUUAAGUAGCCUAGUGAAAGUUGCUUGAAAAAGAAGCCAAUCCGGAAUAAGAUACUACCUCGAUCCCGGUAAAAGGUGUGGUUGUAUUUUUAUUUUUUCGUGUCUCUGUUUUCUUUUGUUUCUGUUUUUUUUUUUUGAAAGACUGAGCAAUUCCCAAGAUAAGAAUCUGUGCCAACACAAUCACAAUUGUGGUCUAUCUGUGCAUCCGUCUCCCAGCAAAGCGUUACAUGCCAAGCGAUGAAAUGGGGUUUUCCCAGAAUUAUCCUGAACACCAAGUCGAAGAAAAAUGUUAACCGAAGUUCUUUGUCUGACUCAUUGAUAAAUGUUAUACCGGUACAUAAGUAAUGUCGCAUUGUAAACUACAUUCGAAGUACAUACACAAUAUUGGCAGUAUA